AGCGAACGCUGGCGGCAGGCUUAACACAUGCAAGUCGAACGGUCCUUCGGGAUAGUGGCGGACGGGUGAGUAACACGUGGGAACGUACCCUUAGGUUCGGAACAACACAGGGAAACUUGUGCUAAUACCGGAUAAGCCCUUCGGGGGAAAGAUUUAUCGCCUUUGGAGCGGCCCGCGUCUGAUUAGCUUGUUGGUGAGGUAAUGGCUCACCAAGGCUACGAUCAGUAGCUGGUCUGAGAGGAUGGCCAGCCACACUGGGACUGAGACACGGCCCAGACUCCUACGGGAGGCAGCAGUGGGGGAUCUUGCGCAAUGGGCGAAAGCCUGACGCAGCCAUGCCGCGUGGAUGAUGAAGGUCUUAGGAUUGUAAAAUCCUUUUACCGGGGACGAUAAUGACGGUACCCGGAGAAGAAGCCCCGGCUAACUUCGUGCCAGCCGCCGCGGUAA
rnacentral:rRNA from 1 species